rnacentral:misc_RNA from 1 species
UUUCCGUAGGUGAACCUGCGGAAGGAUCAUUGCACACACGAUGCAGCAAACUAGCGAACUGUGUUUGUCCCCCACCUACCCCAAACACGAGGGGCCGCAUCUGGAGGUGCGGCUGUCGACGGCAAGGUCCCGACCUUCGGGUCCCCGCAGUGGUUCCCGCAAGCGGGCUGAUCAUGUUGCCGUCUGGGUGUCCCGCGCGGGCUCUCGCCUUGCCUUAGGGUUGGGCGACGCGGGCAUUCUCCUCCCUUCGAUGGCGUCGUCCCCCCCUCCGGGAGAGCGACACGCCUCGAGGGCCGUUUACAACUUUGCACCAUGUACAACACCAGUGACUUAGUAUACCUGUGUCCCGGUUCCGCUGCUGCCCUCGGGUGGUGCGGGAUCGGUCCAUAGGAACAAGAGUAAAUAAAAACAACUCUCAGCAACGGAUAUCUUGGCUCUU